UUAUUUGGGUUUAGGUUCUAUACUUGGGUUUAGGGUUUAGUGAUUAGGAUUUAGGGUUUAGUAUUUGGAAGGUGCGGGUUGAGGUUUGGGUUUAGUGAUAGCAGUUUAGGGUUUAGUAUUCAAAAGUUGGGUCUGGAUUUAGCAUUUAGGAGUUGUGUGUUGAAUUAGAGACUUAGAGUCCUAUACUAUUUCGAUGAUAUGAAACACAUUUUGUAUUUGAGUUUAGGGUUUGUAUUUAGAUUUCGGAUUUAGUGUUUAGGGUUUAGUAUUUAGAGGCUUGGAGUAGGUGGGGUUGGGAUAAAAUUUAUUAUUUAGGGGUUUGGAUAGAGUUGAUCUCUUAUACUAUUUUGUUAUACUAAAUAGAACUUGUGUUUAGUAAGUAAUGAAAUAUACCAUUUAUUGCAAAGGUGUUUUAAUUUUAUUCACGCUUUACUGUGCAUGGUUAACUGCACCGUCAUAAAUUGCACUAUCAGAAAUUGCACGCUUUAGGGAUCUAGGUUUAUAGUAAAGUUUAGUUGCACUAUCAUAAAUUGCAUACUAUAAUAAAUAAGUAUGUGGUAAAUAAAUGUUUGGUGUGGUUUCCACUACGUGAUGGAAUUAUAAUAAUUGUGUUUAAUUUCUAGCCAUAACUAUAAUUGAUGAUGUCAUCCACACUCUUCUUCUUUCACCGAGUACCUGUCAAAAGAGAAGGUAUAACCGAUUCAAUCAUAGGCAAAAUGUUACUAGGUUAAUAAUGUCAAAAUCAAUGCUAUUGGCUUAAUUUCUAUUGCAAACUUGGUUAUUUGCAAAUUCACCCAAAAUAAAAUUCAAAAUAAUUCAACUGUUAACAAUACUGUUCACUUUUUCAAGAAUGUGUUCAGUGGAAAAAUAAGGUUUUUGUGUCAUAAUUUAUUUAAUGUCUAAUCCGAUCAAUCCAUGAUAUAUUAAUUAUAGUUUAGUUACACAAUUUUUAAUAAAAAAUGAUCUGGUCCAUCAGAAAAAAUUAUAUAAUAACAACAAAAAAUAUUGUAUAUAUAUAAAUAAAAUGAUCAAAUAUAUAAAAAAAAAUUGUCUAUAAUAUAUACAAAUAAACUCACCAUGCGCUUAUCCCAGUUUUAUAUCAUUUGUGCCUUUAAUAUGAAAGUACACUGUUGAAAAACAACGUCGUAAUAUGAAGUAUCAAAACAUGACUCAUACAAUCUUAUAUUGGUAUGAAGUAUCAAAACAUGACUCAUACAAUCUUAUAUUGGUUUCUAAAGUCUUUUGACAGUUAUAUCCAAGUUAUCAAAUUAGUUUUUAUUGUAGUUUCUUUUGUAGUGGAAAUGUAUUUUCUUGCCCUAUAAUAGGUUGGUGUAAUUAUCUCUUUUAUUCAUUAUAGUUCAUUUGUAUAUAAAUGAAUUUGUUAUUGGUUAAUUGGUUUAGAGGCAGUUUACCCCUUAUAUAUAGUGGAUAUGGUACUAAAAGACCGCUGAAAAUUGCAAGUGGUUCGUACAUGCAAAUGGCAAUUAGUACUUUAUGAAAGUUAUAAGUCAUGUUGGUCCACUCCAAUUAUAUAUGUUCUUGAACGAGUGUUUGUCUACUCAUCCUCCACUCCAAAAUCUUAGUUAUUUCCUGUCUGAAACCAACCUUGCCAAUUUGGUCGUUUUUAAUUAUACAGUAAAUAAGUACAGUGAAACCUCUAUAAAUUAAUAAUGUUGGGACUACACCAAAACUAUAAUUUUUAUUAAUUUAUAAAGAUAUUAAUUUAUCGAUAUACUAAUUAAACCAAAAACUCCAUUUGAUACUAUAAAAUUAUAUUAUUUUAUAGAGAUUUUUAGUGUAUAUUAAUUUAUAGAGUAUUAAUUUAAAGAGGUUAUAUUGUAUAUACUUUUUCAUAUGUUCUUCGUGUGGAAGUGGAAGUGGUUAUCCACAACUACAAUCUUGACAUAAUAUGAUUAGAAGAGAUUAUAGACCAAUUAAUCAAAUAUCCUUUGCGACCACAGACCGGUGAGGGACGCUCUUGAUGUAUUUGCAUAAACGCAUCUCUCCAUUCUACUCCUCUUAUCUCUAGCCGUGUCGCCGCUGGCCUGUCAGUUAUAAACACGUUCUUGUGCUUUUUUUUUAUGUAGCAACUGAAAUAAAAAAAAUGGUGACACGAAGACUUCCUAAAAAAUCACAUAUCUUAAUGCUACUCUCGUUCAAGCACGCUUAACUACGGAGGAGUUCUGAUGAAAUCCAUACAUUAGCACUAGUAAAAAUCUUCCGCAUAGCCACGAUAGUGCCAGUGUAAAAUCGUGGCUUAUUUGAAAAAGUCACUGUUUAGCUACGGUUAGCCACAAUUUUUUAAAAAGCCACGAUUAUUCUUUUAUAGCCACGAUUCAGUCACUAAAUAAUCAUGGUUAUUUUAGUAGCCACGAUUUAGCUACGAAAUAACAGUGGCUAAUCGUUAGCCACGACUCAGCCACUUUAUUUUUGUGGCUAUUUAGUUUUUCUAUACCCUAAACCUUAAACUUCAAAAUUAAAUUAUAUAUCCUAGAUACUAAAACCAAAAUACAAAUAUAACAUCUUUUCAAACUUUAAAUAUAAAUGUUAAAUUUAAAUUCUAAAUAUAAAUUUCUUUAAAAUCCAUUAUAAAUCUUAAACCUAAACCCUUAUCUUAAACUUUACAUACAAAAACCAUAAAUCUAAUGUUUUCAAACCACAAACCUUAUAUCAUACAUUAAAUCACAAAUAUUUAAAUCUAAUUAAACCCAAAAUUUAUAUAUUUCAAACUCUAAAAAUAUUUAUACUUUCAAUUAUUUAAUCUUAACAUUUACAUUUAAUCCUUAACAAGUAUACUCAAAUCCUAUUUCUCAAACUAUAAACUCUAUAUUGUAAACAUAUAUCAUUAAACCAUGAAGCAUUAUAUCUUAAAUUCAAAAUAUUGAAAUUUAAAUUGAAAAUCUUAUCAAUUUUCUUUAGGUUAUGCACUAUAAUCAUAAGCUAACAACUAAAUAAUAAAAAGAAAAGAAAUACUGAAAUCUAAUGCUAAUUCCUAAACUAACUUCUCAUUGGUCAAAAGAAGAAAGGAACGGAUUACCCCCUGUUAGAUCACAACCAUUCAUAAAGAUCCAUCGAACGGCCACAACUACACACGCUUUAUAUUUUUAUUUUUAAUUUAUUUUCUUCUUCCUUCUCUUCUCUCGUCUCUGAUUUUUUUCUAGAUCUAAGUUUCGUUUUCACACAGAUCUCUCUACCGCUCACACAUCUCUCCAUCUCUAGGGAAAUUUGGCUGUAUAACCUUCAAACAAAUUAUAAUUCAUUCUAUGUCUAAAUACCCUAAUACACCAAUACACCAUGCAUCUUUUAUAUAAUAAUACUACUAUGCCCUCUUACACAACCGGUAAAACCUGUAAACUAAAAAAAACUAAAUUAAUAAUACUUACCUUACACACAUACAACGUGGCCUUUGGAGAAUCACAUACCUUGUAGAACGUGGGUUGUUUCUUCUCCAUUUUUGAUCCACUGUGUAACCACCAAAACCAUUUCUGGAGUAGCUUUGCCUAUGAGAUGCCCAUCUGCAAUGACUCGCUUCGCUACUGACAAAAAGCUUUGCGCAUCUGAAAUCUAUGGAGUCGCCGACAACGUAAACGGCACCGCCGCAAGGUUCGUCAACUCUUCCUUCAAUCACCUUAAUCUUUUCGGUUUACGAGGCGGUUACAUGUACUAUUCUCACGGAUGUUGCCAGUUACACAUAUCUUUCUCGCUGUGAAUAUCCUUGAAUUGAUCGGAGAAGAUGAACAGUUUUUGUAACAUUGUGUUCUAUUCUAUUUUAUGCGUAUGGAAUAGAAAUGUAAAACAAUAUGUAUUAUGAAUGUUUUAUUCAUGUUAUGUAAUGUGAAAUAGUCUGUUACUAUACUUAUUUAUCAUGUAUCGUUCCACUUGAUGAUUAAUAAAGAAUGUGUUAUUUUCUUCACCAAUAUGUACUAUAUACUAUGUAUUUUAUUCCAUUCUAUUUGGGUUUAGGGUUUAGUGAUUAAGAUUUAAGGUUUAGUAUUUGGAAGUUAGGGGUUGAGGUUUGGGUUUAGUGAUAGCAGUUUAGGGUUUAGUAUUCAAAAGUUAGAUAUGGAAUUAGCAUUUAUGAGUUGUGUGUUGGGUUAGAGCCUAUACUUUUCAAAAAUUAGGUUUGGAUUUAGUUUAAUAUUACAAAAUAUUAUAUACUAUUUUCAGAUUUUGGUAAUUAGAUUUAGGGAUUAUAAUUAUGUUUUAUAUUUGAGUUUAGUAUUUUAAAGUUUGUUUUGGGUUUAGUAUUUAAGAGUUGUAAUAUGUAUUAUGAAUGUGCUAUUCAUGUUAUGUAAUGCAAAAUAGUAUGUUACUAUACAUUUUUAUCAUGUAUCAUUCCAUUUGACGAUUAAUAAAGAAUGUAUUAUUUUAUUCACCAGUAUGUACUAUACUAUAUAUUUUGUUCUAUUUUAUUUGGGUUUAGGGUUUAUACUUGGAUUUAGGGUUUAGUGAUUAGGAUUUAGGGUUUAGUACGUAGAAAGUGGGGUUGAAGUUUGGGUUUAGUGACCCUAUCAUGUAUUGUUCCAUUUGAUGAUUAAUAAAAAAGUGUUUUAUUUUGUUCACCAAUAUGUACUAUACUAUGUAUUUUGUUUUAUUUUAUUUGGGUUUAGGUUCUAUACUUGGGUUUAGGGUUUAGUGAUUAGGAUUUAGGGUUUAGUAUUUGGAAGGUGCGGGUUGAGGUUUGGGUUUAGUGAUAGCAGUUUAGGGUUUAGUAUUCAAAAGUUGGGUCUGGAUUUAGCAUUUAGGAGUUGUGUGUUGAAUUAGAGACUUAGAGUCCUAUACUAUUUCGAUGAUAUGAAACACAUUUUGUAUUUGAGUUUAGGGUUUGUAUUUAGAUUUCGGAUUUAGUGUUUAGGGUUUAGUAUUUAGAGGCUUGGAGUAGGUGGGGUUGGGAUAAAAUUUAUUAUUUAGGGGUUUGGAUAGAGUUGAUCUCUUAUACUAUUUUGUUAUACUAAAUAGAACUUGUGUUUAGUAAGUAAUGAAAUAUACCAUUUAUUGCAAAGGUGUUUUAAUUUUAUUCACGCUUUACUGUGCAUGGUUAACUGCACCGUCAUAAAUUGCACUAUCAGAAAUUGCACGCUUUAGGGAUCUAGGUUUAUAGUAAAGUUUAGUUGCACUAUCAUAAAUUGCAUACUAUAAUAAAUAAGUAUGUGGUAAAUAAAUGUUUGGUGUGGUUUCCACUACGUGAUGGAAUUAUAAUAAUUGUGUUUAAUUUCUAGCCAUAACUAUAAUUGAUGAUGUCAUCCACACUCUUCUUCUUUCACCGAGUACCUGUCAAAAGAGAAGGUAUAACCGAUUCAAUCAUAGGCAAAAUGUUACUAGGUUAAUAAUGUCAAAAUCAAUGCUAUUGGCUUAAUUUCUAUUGCAAACUUGGUUAUUUGCAAAUUCACCCAAAAUAAAAUUCAAAAUAAUUCAACUGUUAACAAUACUGUUCACUUUUUCAAGAAUGUGUUCAGUGGAAAAAUAAGGUUUUUGUGUCAUAAUUUAUUUAAUGUCUAAUCCGAUCAAUCCAUGAUAUAUUAAUUAUAGUUUAGUUACACAAUUUUUAAUAAAAAAUGAUCUGGUCCAUCAGAAAAAAUUAUAUAAUAACAACAAAAAAUAUUGUAUAUAUAUAAAUAAAAUGAUCAAAUAUAUAAAAAAAAAUUGUCUAUAAUAUAUACAAAUAAACUCACCAUGCGCUUAUCCCAGUUUUAUAUCAUUUGUGCCUUUAAUAUGAAAGUACACUGUUGAAAAACAACGUCGUAAUAUGAAGUAUCAAAACAUGACUUCCUUGAAUUGACCGGAGAAGAUGAACAGUUUUUGUAACAUUGUGUUCUAUUCUAUUUUAUGCGUAUGGAAUAGAAAUGUAAAACAAUAUGUAUUAUGAAUGUUUUAUUCAUGUUAUGUAAUGUGAAAUAGUCUGUUACUAUACUUAUUUAUCAUGUAUCGUUCCACUUGAUGAUUAAUAAAGAAUGUGUUAUUUUCUUCACCAAUAUGUACUAUAUACUAUGUAUUUUAUUCCAUUCUAUUUGGGUUUAGGGUUUAGUGAUUAAGAUUUAAGGUUUAGUAUUUGGAAGUUAGGGGUUGAGGUUUGGGUUUAGUGAUAGCAGUUUAGGGUUUAGUAUUCAAAAGUUAGAUAUGGAAUUAGCAUUUAUGAGUUGUGUGUUGGGUUAGAGCCUAUACUUUUCAAAAAUUAGGUUUGGAUUUAGUUUAAUAUUACAAAAUAUUAUAUACUAUUUUCAGAUUUUGGUAAUUAGAUUUAGGGAUUAUAAUUAUGUUUUAUAUUUGAGUUUAGUAUUUUAAAGUUUGUUUUGGGUUUAGUAUUUAAGAGUUGUAAUAUGUAUUAUGAAUGUGCUAUUCAUGUUAUGUAAUGCAAAAUAGUAUGUUACUAUACAUUUUUAUCAUGUAUCAUUCCAUUUGACGAUUAAUAAAGAAUGUAUUAUUUUAUUCACCAGUAUGUACUAUACUAUAUAUUUUGUUCUAUUUUAUUUGGGUUUAGGGUUUAUACUUGGAUUUAGGGUUUAGUGAUUAGGAUUUAGGGUUUAGUACGUAGAAAGUGGGGUUGAAGUUUGGGUUUAGUGACCCUAUCAUGUAUUGUUCCAUUUGAUGAUUAAUAAAAAAGUGUUUUAUUUUGUUCACCAAUAUGUACUAUACUAUGUAUUUUGUUUUAUUUUAUUUGGGUUUAGGUUCUAUACUUGGGUUUAGGGUUUAGUGAUUAGGAUUUAGGGUUUAGUAUUUGGAAGGUGCGGGUUGAGGUUUGGGUUUAGUGAUAGCAGUUUAGGGUUUAGUAUUCAAAAGUUGGGUCUGGAUUUAGCAUUUAGGAGUUGUGUGUUGAAUUAGAGACUUAGAGUCCUAUACUAUUUCGAUGAUAUGAAACACAUUUUGUAUUUGAGUUUAGGGUUUGUAUUUAGAUUUCGGAUUUAGUGUUUAGGGUUUAGUAUUUAGAGGCUUGGAGUAGGUGGGGUUGGGAUAAAAUUUAUUAUUUAGGGGUUUGGAUAGAGUUGAUCUCUUAUACUAUUUUGUUAUACU
rnacentral:lncRNA from 1 species